AGCAGGAACCAAUAACCGGGACGUGAUUGUCCCGAAGAACCGAUUAAAAAUUCAUGCAACCCAGAAGAGCUCACGAGACCAGCACCGCCAGAGGCGCUAGUGUAUUUUACUCACAUUUUGGUAAAUUUAUUUGAAAGUGUUUUGGUAAGUGUAGACUUUUUUGCUGUGAGUUUUGACAGAUUUCUGUCUGAGGUAAUAACCUCAAUCUUUGCGUUUAUUUUAUUUACGGUUCCCGGUCCCAAAAAUCCGAAAAAAUGUUUCUCUUUCGUACACCGUCGCAGAACGAUUCCGAACUCGAUCCUGGAAUCAAUUAUCUCAAUCUACCCGUGAUGGUCUUAUCUUUAAAUCUUUAAAAAAUGAACAAAGCGGCUAUCCUCGAUGUGGUCCAGCGAAAUCGAUGCUACUGCUGAGUCGUGAAAAGUUAGCUCAAUUUUAUCGCUUGGACGGUGAAAUAGUUCUGGCGGAGGUAUACAAAGCGGAAUUUGUUACGCAAGAACUGGACCGGUGCAUGAACCACCCGCAGUACCGCAGCUACUACAGCGCUACCCCAAGGCUCGGGCUGACUAGAGUUCAAACGUGUUGAUGCUAUAUGCCCUGCGUCGGAAGUGCAAAGUGCUGGCCGAGCUGUGGAUAAUGCGAGGCCAAAACCGUCACCGGGACUAAUACACUGCGGUGAUGGAAAGUUACGGCAAACGAGAGUUACCAGGGAAGCUCUGGAGGAGUUUAACUUCACCGCUAUCGGAGAACUCCGACUUUGGAUCUCUUUUAUUUUUGCAUUUAUCCGGAACAUCACCGACAAGCGCUCCCUAACGUAGCUGGACGAUGGAGCAAGUUGCCACUCAAUUACCCAUUGCAACCGGACACGAUGAUCUGUUUGCGUCCAGCGAAGUCAUAGCGGAAUCGCAAACUUGUCGACUACUUUGUUUCAAUUCCCCAUCAAGGAAGACUUACAAUGGGACAGCAUAUAAUUUCAGCAGGGCUUUCAAGGCUUCACAGCACGAAAAUAAUCGAAUGCCAUUAGUGAUACCUAAUUUUACGUGGAAUCAAGGCACAAACCUUCUGCACCGCACAGUAAAAGUGUAAAAGUAGAAUUCGCAGCUCCUUAGAAGAUAACGAAUACGCUGGAUGUACCGAAAUCGUCCCAACAACAUGACGACUUGAAAUGUGAAAGAAACAUCGCCAAGUAACUAGUCCAUUUCAUAAAGGUAGUUGAUUAAUAUAAAUAUGUCUAUCGAACACAUUGAAGACCCGAGAUUCAUGAACAAGUUUUUACAGAAAGAUUUAAAAAUUACUUACAUAUUUAUCAAUUAUGCUAUUGCUAAUGAAUUGCUCUGAACAUGGGUCAUAGAAGAGAUGAUCCAAAGCGCAAAAGGCUGUCGAGAAUGUUAUAGUCUAUGCUAUAUAUUUUUUUAUUUAUCGUACCAACUAUGUUAAGUGGUUGGAUAGUAAGGGAGAGAAGUAAAAAAGAAAAAGGAAGUAGGAAAAGUAAGAUAAAGAUGUAAGAAGGAAUAAUGAUGUAGCAAGAAUAAGCAAGGAAGAAGUAAAUGGCAGAAGGGUGAGAGAAGACGGAAGAAGGAAGAAAGAAAAAAGAUGAAAGAUUGAAGAAAAAACAUAGAAGAAAGAAGAAGGAAAAAGUAAGAUAAAGAUAAGAACCAUCGACACAGUUUGCUGUUUGUUCCAAGUUCUACAAUUGCAAAACCUGCGGUGCAUCGUAUGGCCUGGAAGAACUUGUACGAAAGCUAAUUGGCCAUGUGGCACAAAAUAAAACCCUAUUCCCGAACAUAAAAUGUGUGCCCACCGCCUCCAACACCGGCUUGCAGCAACGGAAGAUAAGGUUACAGCGGUGCUAGCACAUUAAAUAAUAUUGUCGCGUAAAAUGCACGAUGACAUUUAUUCAAUAAAUAUUAUAUUUACAAUUA